rnacentral:lncRNA from 1 species
CCUCCUCUUCAUUCACAUUAGACCAUUUGCUUACCUAGCCAAAUGAUUGAGAUCAUAUGUCCAUUUGUGAGAAUUCACCUUGUGUGUGUGUGUGUGAAUUAAUAUGAGGGCUUGUUGAAGGAACUUGUUGGUUGAUGAGUAUUGCACCUUGUGUAGAGGCAUAAGAGUAUUGAUAGGCCUAGAGAAGCUAGAGUAUAAUAAGAGAGUUUGCUCAUGCUAUUUGCUAUAUUUCUUUAGGAUGUUAAGUUGAGUGCUAGGAAGUGUUUCUUGUGGCUAUGAGCUCCCACCUUCAAACCUCUUCUCCUAUGAGCUCUUGAAAGUUCACUUGUGGACAAGUAAAGGACAAGUUUGGGGGAGUUGAUAUCUUGCAUAUUUGCAUUGUUUUAGUCAUUCAUUCUUCCACAUGUUGAAUCAUUUAGAUUAAUAUUUAGGCAUCUUUAGGUUCCAUAUUGCAUACAUAAGUCUUUAUUAGGUGUUGGAGCAUCUUUUGGAGUUUUUGGAGGUAUUUGGAGACAUUUGGGCUCUUAAGGAGUAGAAAAUGAUCAUCUUAUCGAAAUGGGAAUUGGAGCGAGGUUCUGAAGCGACCUGAUGCACCCGCUCUAGACGAUUGGAGUGUAGAGCGACCCACUGGAGCAAGGUAUGACACCCGCUAUGUACCAGAGCGACAUCUCGCAGCGAGGUAGCGUACCCGCUCUGGGCCCAACAUCCCGUCGACAACCAGAGCGACCAAGACGGAGCGAGGUGGGUACAUUGCGCGUCAAAUCCAUGAA